rnacentral:rRNA from 1 species
CCUACGGGGGGCAGCAGUGGGGAAUAUUGGACAAUGGGGGGAACCCUGAUCCAGCCAUGCCGCGUGUGUGAAGAAGGCCCUCGGGUUGUAAAGCACUUUCAGUGAGGAAGAACGCCUGGUGGUUAAUACCCAUCAGGAAAGACAUCACUCACAGAAGAAGCACCGGCUAACUCCGUGCCAGCAGCCGCGGUAAUACGGAGGGUGCGAGCGUUAAUCGGAAUUACUGGGCGUAAAGCGCGCGUAGGUGGCUUGAUAAGCCGGUUGUGAAAGCCCCGGGCUCAACCUGGGAACGGCAUCCGGAACUGUCAAGCUAGAGUGCAGGAGAGGAAGGUAGAAUUCCCGGUGUAGCGGUGAAAUGCGUAGAGAUCGGGAGGAAUACCAGUGGCGAAGGCGGCCUUCUGGACUGAAACUGACACUGAGGUGCGAAAGCGUGGGUAGCAAACAGGAUUAGCUACCCUGGUAGUC